rnacentral:rRNA from 1 species
UACGUAGGGUGCAAGCGUUAAUCGGAAUUACUGGGCGUAAAGCGUGCGCAGGCGGUUUUGUAAGUCUGUCGUGAAAUCCCCGGGCUCAACCUGGGAAUUGCGAUGGAGACUGCAAGGCUAGAAUCUGGCAGAGGGGGGUAGAAUUCCACGUGUAGCAGUGAAAUGCGUAGAUAUCGAGAGGAACACCUGCGGCGAAGGCGGGUUGCUGGGCUGACACUGACGCUGAGGCGCGAAAGCCAGGGGAGCGAACGGG